rnacentral:rRNA from 1 species
ACUCCCAACCCCUGUGACAUACCACUUGUUGCCUCGGCGGAUCAGCCCGCUCCCGGUAAAACGGGACGGCCCGCCAGAGGACCCCUAAACUCUGUUUCUAUAUGUAACUUCUGAGUAAAACCAUAAAUAAAUCAAAACUUUCAACAACGGAUCUCUUGGUUCUGGCAUCGAUGAAGAACGCAGCAAAAUGCGAUAAGUAAUGUGAAUUGCAGAAUUCAGUGAAUCAUCGAAUCUUUGAACGCACAUUGCGCCCGCCAGUAUUCUGGCGGGCAUGCCUGUUCGAGCGUCAUUUCAACCCUCAAGCACAGCUUGGUGUUGGGACUCGCGUUAAUUCGCGUUCCCCAAAUUGAUUGGCGGUCACGUCGAGCUUCCAUAGCGUAGUAGUAAAACCCUCGUUACUGGUAAUCGUCGCGGCCACGCCGUUAAACCCCAACUUCUGAAUGUUGACCUCGGAUCAGGUAGGAAUACCCGCUGAACUUAAGCAUAUCAAUAAGCGGAGGAAAAGAAA